AGAGAGACUGAUGCCUACUCAUUACAACAACAUUAGUGCUAACAGUCAUCCAAAAUAACUUCACAUCCGAAAAUGUUAACAUUAACAAUAACACCACAUCAAGGAAUUUCAUUAUCAGCCAAGUAUUGCUGCCAUCAGGCAGUAGCACCACCACCAGCAGCAUGGCUUCCAUUCUCAACAGCUGAUCCAAUGCCGGUUUGAACAGGCUUCUCAGUGCUGCAAUUUGCGCCUUCUUUCUCCAGGAUCUCUCCCUCAGUUUGCUCUUUGUUCUCUCCUUCAGCUUCAUUCUUUCUCUCCUCCCCUGCAUUUAUGGCUGCCUCAACCAGUGGUUGCUCCUCCUUUUCCUCAACUUCUUUAGCCUCUUCCUUUUCAGCUACAUUGUCAGCCAUUGCAGCAUCAACAGCUUCAGCAGUUCCCUUCUGAGAUGGAGC
rnacentral:lncRNA from 1 species